rnacentral:rRNA from 1 species
GACGAACGCUGGCGGCGUGCCUAAUACAUGCAAGUCGAACGAAGCUGUUUUAACUGGUGCUUGCACCGACUUAAACAACUGAGUGGCGAACGGGUGAGUAACACGUGGGUAACCUGCCCCAAAGCGGGGGAUAACAUUUGGAAACAGAUGCUAAUACCGCAUAACCACAGAAACCACAUGGUUUCUGUGUCAAAGAUGGUUUCGGCUAUCACUUUGGGAUGGACCCGCGGCGUAUUAGCUAGUUGGUAAGGUAAUGGCUUACCAAGGCAAUGAUACGUAGCCAAACUGAGAGGUUGAUCGGCCACAGUGGGACUGAGACACGGCCCAAACUCCUACGGGAGGCAGCAGUAGGGAAUCUUCCACAAGGGACGAAAGUCUGAUGGAGCAACGCCGCGUGAGUGAAGAAGGUUUUCGGAUCGUAAAACUCUGUUGUCAGAGAAGAACGUGUGCGAGAGUAACUGUUCGUGCAGUGACGGUAUCUGGCCAGAAAGCCACGGCUAACUACGUGCCAGCCGCCGCCGUAA